CUAAGUCCCGCCGGAAUUUUGUGUUCCCCUCGGGACGGUGUCGCGGUAACACCGGUCCACUUCCGGGUUGCGCCCGAUGUCACAAUAACAACGCUAAUGACAGAUUGACAUCUGGUGUGGGGAGUUUGAUGUGGCGAUCUGUGAGAGGAUUAUGGAGGCGGAGUAACCGCAUAAAAAGAGAAGUGCAGAGACCAUAUAGGGUUGGAGAUUCUAUUUGGUCGUUCGUUCUCCCGGCUAUUCUUCCUGGUUGGCUUGCCCCCGUGUGUGGUUCUUCUCUUUGGAUGUGUUCCCCUAGGAGAAGUGAAUUCCUGGGACGUUUGGGCUGGCGUGUGGAGGUAUUUGAGGACUAUUGUGGGGUUUCGGCUAUCUGGCUGUGCGACAGAUAUAUCAGCGAUCGAGUGGAGAUAUUCAGGACAGAAAGAGUGUGAGCUCUGGAAAGCAAGUGAAGACCAAACCGCGCCAUCGCUAUUGGAGGGAAGUUAAGAGACCUGAUCUGGGACUUCGAUCAAUUGUAUACAUCUGGACUGGGAGUGAUAACGUUGUGAAGUGGACGGAGCCAUCGUUGGGUGAGUGCUGGCUCUAUUUGCACUAAGAGUGGGUGUGCCGUGUCUGAAGUGGUGUGUUUGCACAAUAAUUCGUUUGAAGUGAAGUUACAGAGUGUGGGGAAGAUAUAUAGAGUUAAUGCCGGACGCUCACCACCCCGAGAGCCCACCACCGUCACCGUAAUCCACACCCAGGCACUCGACUGAAGUAUCCCCCAGCCGUAAGCCCCAUUUCUUAUUCAAGAACACAUACAUGCUGUUGAUUACUUACCCCGCUGUGUAGAUCGCAGGAUCCUCUGGGCCGAAUGCUGUAUGUGAUGUCCCUGUAGAAAGAGGUGGACACACGAAUUAUUCCUUUCCCGGUCUUAACCGAAGCAUCUCCCAGCCGUAAGCCUCACUACUUAUUCAAGAACACAUACUUACUGUUGAUUACUUACUCUGCUGUGCAGAUCGCAGGAUCCUCUGGGCCGAACGCCGCAUGUGAUGUCCCUAUGAAAAGAGAUCACAGGAUUCUCUGGGCCGAAUGCUGCAUGUGAUGUCCCUGUAAAAGGAGGUGGACACGAGAAUUAUUCCUUUUCCCGGUCUCGACCGAAACAUCCACGAGCUCUACUUACCCGGAUACCCCCCUCACUCCGGGACGGGUGACAGACUAUCCUGGCUCUUGCUGGCCCCGUACAGGCACGAAUUGCUGACGACUCCACGCCUUCCCGGCGUCUGAGGUCUGGCUCUGUUCUGGUCGGGAGACACGGAAGGAACACUGAACUUUUAAAUUGCUUUUAACUAAAUAAAACCUUGUUCAUUUUUUAUACUCUCGUCCGUCUGGUUCUUCUGGUACGCUCCCCGAGGUGAUCCUGGGUUUCAGGGGUGGGUGCAGUCCAGCUUGGCCCCCCCGACCUGUGACAGAUUUGGCGUAGUCGGCAGGGUUUCACCUCGGGUUGAGCGACCAGGGAUUCUCAGAUGGCCGACGACGAGGCACUGGGGGCCCCACCCCGAGUCAUGCCAGUGUUCAGGGGAAACCCCUGGGUCCAGAAAUAUGGAGGAAAUGAGUCAGAGGUGCGCCUCUCCGAAUGGCGGGCUCAGAUCGAAUAUCUGGCCGGGCUACAGGGACUGAGCGCGACCCAACAGCUACAGUUUGCCCUCAACUCCCUUGACGGGGAAGCGCGGCGGGAAGUCCAAGCCGCCCCCGAAGCUGUCCGAACCACCGCCCAGUCUGUGUUCAGAUUCCUGACGGAAAGGUAUGGUGACGCCACUCCAACUGCGGUUCUCCGGGCCCAGUUCUUCAGCAGCA